GAUGUCGAAUGAGCCUGAGGCAUCCCUAGCAAGUAAAGGAUUACUCUGCUACUGAGGGAUGAUUUGAAAUCUAACAUGACCACAUCCAUUGAGAAUAAUGGUGCUUUGUUAAUGGGAAAAAGUAUAUGCUGCCAAACAAACCUAGCUUGGUGUAAGAAUAUGUGAAAAACUUUAAAAAUAAAGCUUGUUUGGAAAGACAGCUGAUCAUUAAUCCCUGCAUCUGAGAUGUCUGGAGCAUCCUCACAUGGCUGGCCAGUACAGUGCAGGACCUACUGCAGGUCCACAGCUUUCAGAAGCACCACCUAGAGACCCAGUAUACUGCCAUGGGUCACACCAAGUGUACCUAAUCUAAUACAUGGCCUCAGUCUUCCUGUUGACGAUCAUUUAUGCACAGGGAACCCUGUGCUUUCCUUGUCCAUAAACCUCAGAGGCUCUGAAACACUAAUUGCUGUAUUUUAUUUAUCUCCAGCCUGCCUAGCAUUUGUUAAUUGACCUGGUAUGGAGUAAAAUCCUGGCAUUUCUUCCUUCCCAAAGGAUCCUGUGAGUUGGAUGGAAGACAAAUGAAUUUACUUUGUCUUCAAAUGCUGGUGACAGGGAAGAGACCUCAUCUGAAAUGUUGCUCUGUCUGAUGUGGAGAACUUUGAUCCAAAUUUCUCCUGAGGAUCUGGUUGUCUCACCAGGAAUAAAACCCAAGGAAAAACGGCUUUGCUUUAUUUGGUUGUUUUAACUGCAUCAUCUCCGUUAUUGUGAUGGGAAGGUGAUACAAGAAAGGGUAGAAUGAAAAAAAGUGGAGCCAUUUUUGCUGUGAGAAGAAAGGUAUGUUGGAAUCAUGUCUUCAUUCAGUUUGCAGCUCUUUUUACUUUGGCAAUGCUGAGCCAAAGAUUUAUCUCAGUCAGGAACUUAUUAAGACUCCAGCAUACUGUAAUUUCGAAUAGCUUCCCUCUGGCUGUGAUUCAAUAUUUAUUGUGGCCUUGUUAUCAAUACAGCUUAAGGAGGUCCUACCCUUCUCUUGGGUGGACACAGCUGAGAAAUGGGUCAGGAAAAAAAAAAAUAAUCAGUGUUGAAAACAGCCUCUGCUUGCAAGAAACCUUGCUUGAGCAACCUGGUCUAGUGGGAGGUGUCCCUGCCCAUGGCAGGAGGGGUUGGAACUAGAUAAUCUUAAGGUCCUUUCCAACCCAAACUAUUCUAUGAUUCUAUGAAACAGGCGUGCGUCGUAGAAUAAGAGGGAGUGAGGGGUAGUAGGCAGGAGCUUAUUGAGAAGUUAUUGCUGCCAAAGCUCCCAUACAAUCAAACUAUAGCCUCAGAUACUGUGGAUUGCCAGGUAUCAGGGUACAGCUUGAAACUUUUAUCAGUGCACAACAAAUCCAGGGAAUGCUGCUAGUCCUGGGGGUGAAGAGCCGAGGAUGCAUGUGAAGCAGCACAAACAUGGAGAAAUGUAACUCAGCGCAGUGUCCCAAACAUGGAUGAAAACACUGUGUAAUUGUUAAGGCCAUGAUUUCGUGGAUCCUUUGAAAAAUAUAGAGUAUUUAUGGAGAGGCAGACCCACUACACACAGGAGAUCUCCAUAGAUUGCAAGAGCACACCAGAUACCUGUGGAGGAUAUUGUGUAUGCUGUGUUUAUAUAUAUUCUCUGAGAUAACGUUUGUGCUAUCACAACUGGGGGAUGCUUUUCAGCCUUUCUCUGUGCACAGAAAAGAAAGCUGAGUGUUUGUCCCAGUUUCUUUAGAAAGCUCUUAAAUUAACAUCUCUUAAGUGGGCAUAUUUAGUCAGCUGUUCAAACUGCAUCCAAUUUGUGCAGUUAAUUUGAUCUCUGCUUGGCAUGACCUUUUGCCCAAUUGAUUAACACCUUGCAAAUCAAAUUAAUUUCAUUCUGAUUAUCUCCAACUUACGCAUCUCCAAUUUAGGCAUACUCUAGGCCUGAAAUUACUAUUAUGUACUCAGUGAUGAAGAAAUCUGACACCUAGAUGUAUAAACUAUCAGAUCUCAUGCAAAGACCUAUAUUGUCUUGUGAUGAUGUGGUCUUUGAUUAGUAAUAGCUACUGUUUAUGUGAUGCCUCUGAAAACAGAGCUAGU